rnacentral:misc_RNA from 1 species
ACACCUCAACUCAUUGUGGUUUUCCAUGAUGGGCUUGGACUUUGGGGGUUUUGCUGGCCUAUGGUCAGCUCCUCUAAAAUAGAUCAGCUUACCAGUGUUUGGUGGGUAUCAUGGGUGUGAUAACUAUCUACGCUUAUGGUUUUUCCACCAGAUAACCUUCAGCAGUGGAGGUUCACUGGAGCUCAUAGACGUCUCUCCUUAGUGAGGACAGCCCUUUGAAU